rnacentral:rRNA from 1 species
UACGUAGGGGGCGAGCGUUAUCCGGAUUCACUGGGUGUAAAGGGAGCGUAGACGGCCAUGCAAGCCAGGGGUGAAAGCCCGGGGCCCAACCCCGGGACUGCCCUUGGAACUGCAUGGCUGGAGUGCGGGAGGGGCAGGCGGAAUUCCAUGUGUAGCGGUGAAAUGCGUAGAUAUAUGGAGGAACACCGGUGGCGAAAGCGGCUCUCUGGCCUGUAACUGACACUGAGGCUCGAAAGCGUGGGGAGCAAACAGG